rnacentral:pre_miRNA from 1 species
CAUGCACCGGUGGGGGGUCCCUCGGCCUGGCCUGCACUCUUUCGCAAUCUGGGACCCCUUGGGGGAUGUCAGAGAGCUGCAGGCCAGGCUGAGGGACCCCACCGAUGCACG